GCCCGGAGCCCGUCUGUGCCCGCUCUGGGGUGCAGGGAGGGGGGCAAGCCUUGGAGGCCGGGUUCCUACCCGCACCUGGGAGCUAAACUGCGCGGUGUGUAUACGGGUCCGGUUUGGGACCGGUUCCGCGAGUGCUCACCCUUUUCCUCUAACCAGCCCACUCGCCUCCUUUUGGUCUCUCUGUCUCCCCACUCCGCAUGGGUACCAAGAACUUUGUGGGAGAGGAUGGCAUAGCCCUCCCAGUUGUCUUUUGCUGAAGAAUGUUCCUGAAUCAAGACAACCUCUUGCCUCUCUCCCUUGCCUCCCUCUCCAGGAAUGUGAUGGAGGAAGGACUCUAAGGGAAAAGGUCUCUUUUGCCAAAGAAUAACAACAAGAAGGAUGACAGUUGGAGUACAAUGCUGCCCUCUUCAUGUAGGGUGAUAAGGCUCAACCUCCACCAGUUGACAGGAGCAGACAGAAGCAAAUCCAGUUUGUUUCAGCUGAUAUCCUCUCCCAACUUUAUUCUGAAAACUAUUAUGACUGAGUUGGAGUGUUUGUGUCCCCCCAAAUUCAUCUGUUAAAAUUCCAGACUCUUGGGCUGGGAACGUGGCUCAGUGGUAGAGUGCUUGCCUUGCAUGCAUGAAGCCCUGGGUUCGAUUCCUCAGCACCACAUAAGCAGAAAAGGCUGGAAAUAAUGCUGUCUCAAGUCGUAGAGCUCUGGGCUGAAGAGCUGAGGGACAGCGCCCAGGUGGAGUUCAGGCCCUAUGGCUGAACUUUUUUGAGAGGUGAUUAGGUCAGAGUAGUGGAGCCCUCAUAAAUGGGAUUUGUAGACCACCUUGUACCUUCCUCCAUGUGACGGCACAUUGAGAAAACAUCUAUCAAUCAGAAAAUGAACUUUUACCACCCAGAGAAUCUGUUGUCAUCUUGAUCUUGGAUGUCUCAACAUCG